AUUGAACGCUGGCGGCAGGCUUAACACAUGCAAGUCGAGCGGAGAUGAGGUGCUUGCACCUUAUCUUAGCGGCGGACGGGUGAGUAAUGCUUAGGAAUCUGCCUAUUAGUGGGGGACAACAUUCCGAAAGGAAUGCUAAUACCGCAUACGUCCUCCGGGAGAAAGCAGGGGACCUUCGGGCCUUGCGCUAAUAGAUGAGCCUAAGGCGGAUUAGCUAGUUGGUGGGGUAAAGGCCUACCAAGGCGACGAUCUGUAGCGGGUCUGAGAGGAUGAUCCGCCACCCUGGGACUGAGACACGGCCCAGACUCCUACGGGAGGCAGCAGUGGGGAAUAUUGGACAAUGGGCGGAAGCCGGAUCCAGCCAUGCCGCGUGUGUGAAGAAGGCCUUUUGGUUGUAAAGCACUUUAAGCGAGGAGGAGGCUACUUAGAUUAAUACUCUAGGAUAGUGGACGUUACUCGCAGAAUAAGCACCGGCUAACUCUGUGCCAGCAGCCGCCGUAACAC
rnacentral:rRNA from 1 species